rnacentral:lncRNA from 1 species
GUGGUCAUAAACCUUGUGUUAAAAUUUCAUAGAUUUCCAUUCACUUUUACUAAAGUUAGAGUGCGAAAACUAAAAGUAUUCGGACGCCGGACGACGACGACAACGACGCCGCCAACGUGAUAGCAAUAUACGACGAAAAUUUUUUCAAAAUUUGCGGUCGUAUAAAAAUAUAAAAUUUGGCUAAAAGUAACAACACUUGGCCAGCACCUCAUAAGGAAAGGAACAUUCAUGCUAUGUUUGAUUUCAUUCAAUUCAGUGGUUCUUAGAAGAA